rnacentral:rRNA from 1 species
CCUACGGGAGGCAGCAGUGGGGAAUAUUGGACAAUGGGCGAAAGCCUGAUCCAGCCAUGCCGCGUGUGUGGAGAAGGCCUUCGGGUUGUAAAGCACUUUCAGUGGGGAAGAAAGCCUUGGGGCUAAUACCCUCGAGGAAGGACAUCACCCACAGAAGAAGCACCGGCUAACUCCGUGCCAGCAGCCGCGGUAAUACGGAGGGUGCGAGCGUUAAUCGGAAUUACUGGGCGUAAAGCGCGCGUAGGCGGUCUGAUAAGCCGGUUGUGAAAGCCCCGGGCUCAACCUGGGAACGGCAUCCGGAACUGUCAGGCUAGAGUGCAGGAGAGGAAGGUAGAAUUCCCGGUGUAGCGGUGAAAUGCGUAGAGAUCGGGAGGAAUACCAGUGGCGAAGGCGGCCUUCUGGACUGACACUGACGCUGAGGUGCGAAAGCGUGGGUAGCAAACAGGAUUAGAUACCCCAGUAGUC